GACGUAGGGGGCCAGCGUUGUUCGGAAUUACUGGGUGUAAAGGGUUCGUAGGCGGUGCGGCAAGUUGGGAGUGAAAUCUCUGGGCUUAACCCAGAGGCUGCUUCCAAAACUGCUGUGCUUGAGUGUGGGAGAGGCGCGUGGAAUUGCAGGUGUAGCGGUGAAAUGCGCAGAUAUCAGGAGGAACACCAAUUGCGAAGGCAGCUCGCUGGGACGUUACUGACGCUGAGACGCGAAAGCGUGGGGAGCGAACAGG
rnacentral:rRNA from 1 species